GCCAGGCGUGGUGGCUCACGCCUGUAAUCCCAGCACUUUGGGAGGCUGAGGCGGGUGGAUCACCUGAGGUCAGGAGUUCAAUACCAGCCUGGUCAACAUGGUGAAACCCUGUCUCUA
rnacentral:SRP_RNA from 2 species